ensembl:snRNA U1 U1 spliceosomal RNA
AUACUUACCUGGCAGGGAAGAUACCAUGAUCCUGAAGGUGGUUUUCUCGGGGUGAGGCUUAUCCAUUGCACUCCAUAUGUGCUGAGCCCUGCAAUUUCCUCAAAUGUGGCAAACUCGACUGCAUAACUUGCAGUGGUGGGGGGAACUGUAUUCGUGUUCUCCCCUA